CAGGCUUUUUUUUUUUUUCUUUUCUCUUUUUAAAGGCUUUUUCCUGCGAAGGGUUGGACUGUGUGUAUCCUGUUAGAGCUGCGUGAAGCGAGUCCCAAGGCAGGAUCCCUAAUUUGGAAGCAUCAGGCUGGUGGGACCCCAUUGUGUUGUGAUUUGCCUGGCACAGUGACUGUUGCCCUGCAUGGUCUUGAGGACAAGACUGGGCAGAGGGAUGGCUUCUGCCAGCACCUGUGAAUGGUUCCAGUGGUGGUUUUCUAAAGAUUUUCUCCUUCUCCAUUCAUUGCAGAACAAAAAAAAAGAAAAACAUUUUAAGUACCUGCUUCUCCAGUAAUUGUUUCUGUGGCAGGAUGGAGCCUGCUUUUAAUUCUCCAGAAAACCUUAGUCACUGUACAGGAAGCCAGUACAAGUUUGCAAGGAAAAUCUGUCAAGUGUGAUGUGAUCAAAAUCUCAUUUAAAAUCGUUAACAAUCAAUUAUCUCCUUCACCACAGGUACUUGGAGAAAACGCUACAGCCUAAAAGAAUGAACGGACAGUUUUUGCACGCGUGUCCUGGUUCUCCAUGGAAAAGGGAGGCUUCACCCUUGGAUCACGUUAGCUGAUGGCAGGAGCAGCAGAAGUGUGGAUGGGUGUCUGAGGCAGCUCAGCUGCCCCCAGUACUCACAGGACGAUGGGCAUGAUGGUGAGGAACUUGCGGGACGCGGUGAACUGCACGCCGUAGUCCAUCUGCUCCCAGUGCGUCAGCAGCCGAGCCUUCCCCUGGUCCGGGGUCUCAAAGGGGGUUCCUUUGACGGUGUGCAGGAAGAUGUACAUGCUCUGUGGCAAACAGAAAGGCAGCCUGAGCUACAAGGGAGUGUUCUCUGCUAGCCCCUCGUGUCCAGCUUCAGCAGGAGCUUGCAGCAGCGCGCCGUUCCGCUAGAGGGAUGACGGUGGCUGCCGGGGAACGCGCUGGAAGUGGCAGAGAGAGCCAGGGAGGAAGGCCAGCCGCUAGCUCGGGCUCCCCUGUCAGGCAGGAGGCCUCUCGUAGGGCUCCUGGGCAUGAGCCAAGAAGAAGGUGGUUGCAAGAUUACAGCACGGGGGAUCUCUGCCAUCAGGAGAUUAGCACGGACGCGCUCUACCGUGCCGGAGCAGCCCUAAAGCCUCUCUAAAGAAGCUCUGGGAGAGCUGUAGGCAACGAGGCUGUUACUGCUCCGAUUAGGAGCGAACCUCUGGAAGUGGAAGACAAGUCACAGAUAAAAAGUAAGUGUCCAGCUACAUCAUGUGUGUUUAAGCAUGGUCACGGCUGGACUUUAAACUCCUUUCUGUUCCCAGGGCCUAAUUGUUUAAGCUGCCAGAGGAGGGGAAGGAGCUGCAUGAAAAGCAGGCAGCUCGGGAACUGGGCUCUGAGCAGCUCCAGUUGGUGGGUCUGUGAGUUGUGGGUUUUUUUCUAUUUUUACUUUUCACCCUGCUAGAGAUGUAAAUAACGUUAGCAUAAGGUCCCCAAUACAGAUGUCGUUUCUGUCUCUGGAAUAUUCUUAGCCUGAGGUGUUAUUUAAAAUAAAGGAUACAAAGGCAA